UGGUGGGUGUUGGGGUGGGCUUGGCCACCACCUGAGUUUUCACUGUCUUCAGAGUCCCAGGUGGGGUGGAAGGUAACCCCGAGGUCCGAGUGUCCCUGGAGCAAGCUACGUUCUGUGCCCUGCUGGGGUGGUGUGUGGGUAACUUUCUGGUUCCUUCCUGCUUCCAUUCUGAGGGUGUGCAGAAUCCAGUCUACUUUCUUGUAGCUAGGAACGGCCAAGGCAUGUGGGGGACAGCUCAGGGAGGAGCAGCGCUCUCUGUCAGGCUGCAGACCCCACCUUGUUAGUCCUCUGCCCGAGUUUCCGCCUUGGCUGUAGCUUUAGAUGGUCCCUCAGUGUGGUGUCGUCCUGAGAACUUCCUCCUGGAGUCUUGGAGGGUCCCCUCUGACUCCGUUUCUAACAGGCCACUGGGGGUCAGGGCAGGACGGGGUGCUUGUGGGCUUUAGGGUGGUGACAGGGACAGGCAGAGGAGCUAGGGCUGGGCAGUCAGAGGCUUGGCCCUGGGUGAUGUCCAUGAGACAGGAAGCCAGCACCACUCCGCCGGGCAGGGGCCAGGCAGCAAGGUGGAUUCUUGGGAAGGGCAUCUUCUGAGUGCCCGGGAGCAGGCUGAGCCCCGAGGUGCAGCUCCGACAGGUGCAUGGCUCAGUCACUUCCCGGUGUUGUCAGACCUCACACGCCGUGUCUCCCGCCCUCCCUGCCAGGACUCGUCUCCAGAAGCCUCAGGUUUCCGUAAGCUGCAGGGGACUGAGGCCACAAGGGGGCUGGAGGGAAAGGGCCUGUGAGGCUGGCCCUUUGGACCAGUUCCUGGAGGGAGAGGAGGCUUUGUUACAAACCCUACUGGCCAGAGCAAGUGGGCUGGGGCACAAGGUGUGUACCCCUCAAUCCUCCUGCAGACCCUGGGCUUCGGCCCUCUUGCUGGGAGACCCUCCAGGGAAUAGGGUACCUGCUCCAUCUUCCCCUUCACAGCACUUACUGCUUUGAGCUGUAACUGUCCAUCUACACCCCACCCAUGGCCUCGAGUGUAGACCCCAUACCUCAUCCCCACAGUGGCCAGCACAUAGCAGGUGCUCAGUAAAUGCCUGCCGAUGGAUGAGUGAUUCUGCUGAAGACAAAGGGGUCUUCCCUCUUCACCGGGCCUCUCCCCGUCCCCACAGCCGGUGCAUGGGAGCGCACCUUUAUCGAGCCAGCCACUUUAAGGCUAAUCACAUUCAUUCAGAAUCACAUAGUUAAGUAAAAUUUACUUUGGGUGGGAUUAACUUGGCUCUCUGAGGGCAGCAUAAAGCACAGCAAUGCUCCAUUGCAAAGUCCCGUCCCGCCGUUGUAAAAGAGUUUGUCGUCCUUUUGUGGCGACUGUGCAGCGUUCCCGGAGGCACGCGAUGCUUACUUACUGAUCCACAGAUGACGGAUGGUAGAUCCCGCUUUGUCUGGAAGGGAAAACUCGAACAGCUUGUCUGCACCUCUCCACUCGGACAUUAAAUCAACAUGGCUCUAUUAGUGGCCUUGGGAUGCCAGCUGAGCUGUCUCCGAGCCUGUCACCGUGAUGUCUUCAUCUGUAACCAGAGCAGACGUGAGCUCCUGGCAGCUUCAGGAGGUGACAACAAAUCCAAUUAGCUCCUCUCCACGGCGCCGCAGGACUUCUGCGAAACGGCCUGCCGGGGAAGGCGGCUGGUACCCCGCGCAGUGGGACACGGCGGGUGCUGUUCUUGGGAAGGAGGGAGGGAGAGAGAGAGAGAGAGAGAGAGGGGAAGGGAGGGGAAACAAAGGACCAGGCGUAAUUGUUGGAGUGACUCUGUGCGAGUGGAGAGACCUAGUGCCAGAUCGGCCGCACCGGGCCAGCCCUGCUGGUUCUUGGACAGCAACGAGGCUGCCAGGAGCCCAGCUGAUGGCCAAUCCCUGCUUUGGAACCGUGCUUGACUUUGAUGGUGCUUAUCUUGGGGGACAAUCACAUGUCCCAUUCCCAUCCUCCUCUGCCCCCUUCCUGGCUUCCCUCUUUGUCCCUGAAACAGCACAAUGUCAAGACAGCCCCGGUUCACAGCCCCGGAGUCUGAGGGUUCACGGAAGUUUCCGGUUCUCCAGAGGAACACGACAUUAACAGUUUCUUGGGUCAUUUAUUUCCUAGUUUUGGGGCCCCCUUCGCCUGUGUCUCCCUGGUUCUUUGUGGAGCACGGAGAAGGGGAGCCGGAACAGGUUAGCAGGCCUGAGGAAUGCUGGUGGGUUUCAAGGAGUGGCAGGAGGGAUUCUGCAGCCCAGCCGGCGAGCCAGCGAGCCAGCAGGCCGAGUCAGUGGCUCGGCGUUGAUGGCCGGCAUUGCAGGGCUCCGCUGCCAGCUCGCCGGUGGAGCCGUCGCUUCCUGCCACACGCUGGUACCCUCUACCUGUAGGGGCUGGCAGCAGCAGGCCCUUGGGGUGAGUGAUGGGAAGAGGAGAAGGGGCGGCAAGGGGAAGGAGCAGGAAGCGGCUUUCGAUCCUUCUUUCGGAAGCAGGUUGCUGCGAAUGUACAUCAGCCUGGUCCAACUCAUCCCAGAUUAAUUGGGCAGGAUAUAGAGGCAUCUGGCUGCCAUGCAGAGCGAGCGAAGAUUCAGCGGGCGCUGCAUCCCCGGCUGGCUUUUGGAAGUGGCCCCAGUGCUGCCAGGCACAAUUAUUUUCAGCAAUGUCUUUCUGCUGCCGAAACUUAGGACUGCAGACUUUGGCACCCGAGCUAAGCGCCGAUUUGUAAGCUCACAAAUGGACACCAUCCUUGAUUCGAGAUGCUGUGUGGAGCCCAGUGGAGGCAGCAGGACUGCACCCUUGGCUACAUGGUGGCUGGGCAUGUUUGGAGGGAGCAUUUGUGUGUUGUGUGUGUGUGUGUGGCGGGGUAGGACGAGGCUGGGGUACCCAAGGGCCAGCUCACAAAGGGUCCUGUAGGUCCACUGCAGAGUAUGGAUUUGAGUCUGUGACAAUGAGGGGAUGGCACUCAUCCCCACCCCCCAUCUCUCCAAAAAGCCUUGUCCGCAUGGGCGCGGUGGUGCAUGCCUGUAACCCCAGCACUCGGAGGCUGAGGCUGGCGAGUUUCUGCAAGUUCGAGGUCAACCUAGUCUACAUAGUAAGACCUUGUCUGGCCCCUGGAGACUGUCAGGUGGGCUCAGGUGGCCUGCAAUGCCGUUCACUACUUCUGUGUGUGAUCUGUGAAUAGAUCUGGCGAUUCAGUUUUUACUCGCUGCUCUGUGAGGCCUGGCGCCCCUGGGAGCACUGUUUCCCUCAUUGAUCCCCUGACACCCAGCACAGCGUAGACACAUUAGGUAUCAGGCUGCCUGCUGGACCCACCGCCAUGGAUGGGAGAAAUAUGACCGGACCACGCACCACUGUGCAGGGCAGUGGCUGAGAACAGGUGAGCCUGGAUGAAAGAAACUCCACGGGAUAAAAAUGGAGUGCUCCAGCCAGGCCGGGUGGCACAUGCCUACUAUCCCAGCACUCUGGGAGGCUGAGGCAGGAGGAUCACAAGUUCAAACCGAGCCUACUUAGCAAGACUUUGUCUCUAAAGAAAAAUGUCAUAAAAGGACUGGGAAUGCAGCUCCAUGUGAAGGGAUUGGGUUCAAUCUCAAGGACUGAGAAAAAAGUUCAGUGGUCCAGGUUGGAGAGGGUGAGGCUUGAGCUGCAGGGAGCCAAGGAAGGGCAGGAGGAGAUGCAGGUGAGUGGUGCACAGCCAGAGCAGCCGAGCUGCCGGCCUGGGACCCGAAGGGCUGAGCAGCAGGCAGCUGGGUCUGGGCACAGAGCGGUCCCGGGGGCCCUAAGUGUGAGCUUCCUCCCCACGCUCCUUCCAUCCUGCUGUGCGUGGGCCCCAGCGCUGCGGCCACGGAGCCCCCGGGGAACACAAGGAGCCAUGAAGCUGCAGCAGUGGGACCACAGGGCACAGGAGCGGUGUCUUGGAAAACGGGUUCACCCUGGGCGGAAGCUGUGGCACUCGGGUCCCUGGUGCCCCCCUGGCAGCGUGGCACCAGACACACAGAAGGUACCCAGAAGACACCGCUCGAGUUGGUAAAUGGAUGACUUAGCCACAGCACCCACGUGGGUAAUGGCAGCUGUAAGUGUAAACCACAGCCACUGCCAACUGUAUCCGGCAGUGAAGGCAACAGCCAGAACUUCCGGACAAAGGAGAUAAUUAAAGGAGAAACCAAAAUGGGCAAUGAUUUAGAAAGAGAGCACUGAGAGUCAGUGCUCAGUGUGUGGCCCCCCAGGCUGCGGGUCCUGCCGGCAGCUUUCUAGGAACCCCCUUGCCAGUUCGCCCCUUUGUUUCCCGCCAUCCUGGCUCCCAUUUAUCAAGGGUCUCCUUUUAUUUGAAAUGGUUCUGUGUGGGUCGCAUCUCAAGUGCAUGCACUGGGCCAAGUUGUCCAUUUUUCUCUCUCCUCUGUUAGAGACGCAGUAGCGUCUUUGGUCCAGCCCAGCCCCUCCACGCCAUUACUCCUUUGUGGCACCAAAUCUCAUCUGACCACGAGCCCUUCUGUUGCCCUUGACACCAUUACAUCCUCAGACUGAGAAGGACAGUACCACACGGUAUCAUUCAGAUGUAGAAUCUUAAGAAGUUAGUCUUGCCAGACAUGGUGCUGCACGCCUGUAAUAUCAGCUACUCAGGAGGCUGAGGCAGGAGGAUUGCAAGUUUGAGCCCAGGCUGGGCAACCUAGUGAGACUCUCUAGUUCAGUGGUAGAGUGCUUGCUUAGCUUGUACGGGAUCAUAGAUUUGAGUCCUAGAAACACACAUGUACACACGCACACACACACACAACACGAGUUGGUCUCAGAAUAGACAGUAGAAGAGUGGGUAUGAGAGGCUGGGGAAAGGUUGGUCAAAGUGUACAAACUUACAAUGAGAUAGGAGGAACAAGUCCUGGUAUUCUAUUGUACAGUAAGGUGACUAUAGUUGGUAAUAAUUACUGUAUAUUUCACAAUAGCUAAAGGAGGAUUCUGAAUGUUUUCACUACAAAGAAAUGAUAAAUGUUUGAGGUGAUGGAUAUGUUCAUCACCUUGAUUUUAUUCUUAUACAACAUAUACAUGUAUCGAAGCAUUGUAUUGUACCCCAUAGAUCUCUCCAUCAAUUAUGUGUCCAUUAAAAAUAAUGUUAAAAACUUCCUCAAAAUCACACCACUCUAUACAUCUAGUUCUCAACUUGUGUUUUCCCAAUCGACAUAGCCAUUGGUUCAUCCAAGUUGCCACUAGAGAACCAGCUCGUUUAAUAAAUUGCUGUAUGGUUUUCCAACGCC
rnacentral:lncRNA from 1 species